rnacentral:rRNA from 1 species
GCUUGCACCGAGAUUCAACAUGGAACGAGUGGCGGACGGGUGAGUAACACGUGGGUAACCUGCCCUUAAGUGGGGGAUAACAUUUGGAAACAGAUGCUAAUACCGCAUAGAUCCAAGAACCGCAUGGUUCUUGGCUGAAAGAUGGCGUAAGCUAUCGCUUUUGGAUGGACCCGCGGCGUAUUAGCUAGUUGGUGAGGUAAUGGCUCACCAAGGCGAUGAUACGUAGCCGAACUGAGAGGUUGAUCGGCCACAUUGGGACUGAGACACGGCCCAAACUCCUACGGGAGGCAGCAGUAGGGAAUCUUCCACAAUGGACGCAAGUCUGAUGGAGCAACGCCGCGUGAGUGAAGAAGGCUUUCGGGUCGUAAAACUCUGUUGUUGGAGAAGAAUGGUCGGCAGAGUAACUGUUGUCGGCGUGACGGUAUCCAACCAGAAAGCCACGGCUAACUACGUGCCAGCAGCCGCGGUAAUACGUAGGUGGCAAGCGUUAUCCGGAUUUAUUGGGCGUAAAGCGAGCGCAGGCGGUUUUUUAAGUCUGAUGUGAAAGCCCUCGGCUUAACCGAGGAAGCGCAUCGGAAACUGGGAAACUUGAGUGCAGAAGAGGACAGUGGAACUCCAUGUGUAGCGGUGAAAUGCGUAGAUAUAUGGAAGAACACCAGUGGCGAAGGCGGCUGUCUGGUCUGUAACUGACGCUGAGGCUCGAAAGCAUGGGUAGCGAACAGGAUUAGAUACCCUGGUAGUCCAUGCCGUAAACGAUGAAUGCUAGGUGUUGGAGGGUUUCCGCCCUUCAGUGCCGCAGCUAACGCAUUAAGCAUUCCGCCUGGGGAGUACGACCGCAAGGU